rnacentral:rRNA from 1 species
AGUCGUAACAAGGUUUCCGUAGGUGAACCUGCGGAAGGAUCAUUAAUUGAUUGUUUCCAUACUGGAUCCGGCUGCAAGAGAUUCUGCCCAAACAGCAGAGUCUUUGCCGGUUACACUUCAACCCUAUUGUAUAACCCUACCUUUAUAUUCUCAGGACUGGCCUACACAUGAGGUGCGCCAGUUGUUGUUUGGUGCCAUUAAGGCCUGGCAACACUGGCUGUGCCAGUUUUCCUAGAAUGACUAAAAACCUACCCUAACUUGUGUUGUGUACCCCCCCUUCUAUAGUGUCUUGAGGAUGCUAGAAUUCAAUAUACAUAAAACUUUCAACAACGGAUCUCUUGGCUCUGGCAUCGAUGAAGAACGCAGCAAAAUGCGAUAAGUAAUGUGAAUUGCAGAAUUUAGUGAAUCAUCGAAUCUUUGAACGCACAUUGCGCCCCCUGGUAUUCCGAGGGGCAUGCCUGUCUGAGCGUCAUCUCACAAUCAUCCAGCUGGCAUUAGAAGCCGCAGGGUCUUGGCUAUAGAGAAGUAGCUCCCUCUAAUUCAGGGAGCUGUCUCUUGUGCUUAAAUUGUCCACUGGCAGCACACAAGUUUAGCUAAAUGGCGAAUCAAUAUACACUAGUAUUCUAUAGCCUCUUGCUACUGCUUGCUGCCUGUUCAUUUGCAGCUCUGAAUGUUGCAAGGCAAUAGGGCAAUACAUACCCCCUAGCUGCCUUCACACAUGCUGCAUAGCACAUUUGACCUCAGAUCAGGUAGGGAUACCCGCUGAACUUAAGCAUAUCAAUAAGCGGAGGAAAAGAANCCAACAGGGAUUGCCUCAGUAACGGCGAGUGAAGCGGCAACAGCUCAAAUUUGAAAUCUGGCGCUUGCGCCCGGGUUGUAAUUUGUAGAGGAUGCUUUGGACAGGCUGCCAGUCUAAGUCCCCUGGAAAGGGGCGUCACAGAGGGUGAGAAUCCCGUAUGUGGCUGGCCGGCUCUGUCCGCGUAAAGCUCCUUCCAUGAGUCAAGUUGUUUGGGAAUGCAGCUUAAAAUGGGUGGUAAAUUUCAUCUAAAGCUAAAUACUGGCCAGAGACCGAUAGCGCACAAGUAGAGUGAUCGAAAGAUGAAAAGCACUUUGGAAAGAGAGUUAAACAGUACGUGAAAUUGUUGAAAGGGAAGCGCUUGCAAUCAGACUUGCCUGCCAGUGAUCUGCCGGCACUCGUUGCCUGGCCUACUCACUGGCAAUCAGGCUAACAUUGGUCUAGCCUGCUGGACAAAUGGUGGGGGAAUUCAGCUCCUCUUGGGGAGUGUUGCAGACCCCGCCGGCAUGCAGUGGCGCUGGACCAAGGACCGCGUGCCAUUUGGUGCUAGGAUGUUGGCGUAAUGGUUGUAAGCGACC